GGAAGGAUCAUAGCUCAGUGGGAGAGCAUGUGUUUUGCAUGCAAAGGGUCCCAGGUUCAAAUCCUGGUUUCUCCA